rnacentral:rRNA from 1 species
CCUACGGGAGGCAGCAGUGAGGAAUAUUGGUCAAUGGACGAGAGUCUGAACCAGCCAAGUAGCGUGAAGGAUGACUGCCCUAUGGGUUGUAAACUUCUUUUAUAUGGGAAUAAAACGUUCCACGUGUGGGAUUUUGUAUGUACCAUAUGAAUAAGGAUCGGCUAACUCCGUGCCAGCAGCCGCGGUAAUACGGAGAAUCCGAGCGUUAUCCGGAUUUAUUGGGUUUAAAGGGAGCGUAGGUGGAUUGUUAAGUCAGUUGUGAAAGUUUGCGGCUCAACCGUAAAAUUGCAGUUGAAACUGGCAGUCUUGAGUACAGUAGAGGUGGGCGGAAUUCGUGGUGUAGCGGUGAAAUGCUUAGAUAUCACGAAGAACUCCGAUUGCGAAGGCAGUUCACUGGACUGCAACUGACACUGAGGCUCGAAAGUGUGGGUAUCAAACAGGAUUAGAUACCCUUGUAGUC